rnacentral:rRNA from 1 species
GGAAGUAAAAGUCGUAACAAGGUCCCGUUGGUGAACCAGCGGAGGGAUCAUUACCGAGUUUUCAACUCCCUAACCCUUCUGUGAACCUACCUAUCGUUGCUUCGGCGGACUCGCCCCAGCCCGGACGCGGACUGGACCAGCGGCCCGCCGGGGACCUCAAACUCUUGUAUUCCAGCAUCUUCUGAAUACGCCGCAAGGCAAAACAAAUGAAUCAAAACUUUCAACAACGGAUCUCUUGGCUCUGGCAUCGAUGAAGAACGCAGCGAAACGCGAUAAGUAAUGUGAAUUGCAGAAUCCAGUGAAUCAUCGAAUCUUUGAACGCACAUUGCGCCCGCCAGCAUUCUGCGGGCAUGCCUGUUCGAGCGUCAUUUCAACCCUCGACCCCCCCUUGGGGAGUCGGCGUUGGGGACCGGCAGCACACCGCCGGCCCUGAAAUGGAGUGGCGGCCCGUCCGCGGCGACCUCUGCGUAGUAAUACAGCUCGCACCGGAACCCCGACGCGGCCACGCCGUAAAACACCCAACUUCUGAACGUUGACCUCGAAUCAGGUAGGACUACCCGCUGAACUUAAGCAUAUCAAUAAGCGGAGGA